CAAAGACAGUUCAAUUUGAAGAAUAGUCUCAAGAAAGAAACUAAGAACUAAGCAAGAUGAUAUUGUCUCGAAGCCUUUUCUUGCUCGCUCUGAUCGUUCAGGUUGUCGUUUCUACGCCAACCGACCACAACAAAAAGAAGAAAAGCGGCGAACAUAAGCCAAAACAUGUUCAUAGUGGUGAUGUACCAGCCAAGUA